AUUGAACGCUGGCGGCAGGCCUAACACAUGCAAGUCGAGCGGAUGAAGGGAGCUUGCUCCUGGAUUCAGCGGCGGACGGGUGAGUAAUGCCUAGGAAUCUGCCUGGUAGUGGGGGAUAACGUCCGGAAACGGGCGCUAAUACCGCAUACGUCCUGAGGGAGAAAGUGGGGGAUCUUCGGACCUCACGCUAUCAGAUGAGCCUAGGUCGGAUUAGCUAGUUGGUGGGGUAAAGGCCUACCAAGGCGACGAUCCGUAACUGGUCUGAGAGGAUGAUCAGUCACACUGGAACUGAGACACGGUCCAGACUCCUACGGGAGGCAGCAGUGGGGAAUAUUGGACAAUGGGGGAAAGCCUGGUCCAGCCAUGCCGCGUGUGUGAAGAAGGUCUUCGGAUUGUAAAGCACUUUAAGUUGGGAGAAAGGGAAGUAAGUUAAUACCUUGCUGUUUUGACGUUACCAACAGAAUAAGCACCGGCUAACUUCGUG
rnacentral:rRNA from 1 species